rnacentral:rRNA from 1 species
UACGUAGGGUGCAAGCGUUGUCCGGAAUUAUUGGGCGUAAAGAGCUCGUAGGCGGUCUGUCGCGUCUGCUGUGAAAACUCAGGGCUUAACCCUGAGCUUGCAGUGGGUACGGGGCAGACUAGAGUGCGGUAGGGGGAGACUGGAAUUCCGUGGUGUAGCGGUGAAAUGCGCAGAUAUCAGGAGGAACACCGAUGGCGAAGGCAGGUCUCUGGGCCAUAACUGACGCUGAGAAGCGAAAAGCAUGGGGGAGCGAACAGGAAUUAGAUACCGUACCGG